AGCCGGGCAGGCAGGGACGGAGCCCGGGACGGGCUCAGAUUCCGCCGCCUCUCCGGAUUCCUCUCAGCACCGGGAGAUCUUGAGAGUUUCGGCUGCAUCUGAAGAGCCCAGAUCCUGCAUACAGGAUUAUUCCCUGGGGAAGUUAAAAUUUGAACUCUGCCUGGGAAUAGAGUGCUCCUUCAUCUUCAAAACUACCUUUUAGAUCAGGUGUCACCUCAAG